ACACAACGCUUGGGCUCAAGCAUAGCACCAAAGCUUAUGGGAGUGUUGGGUGCGUGUCCAAUAUCUAGGCUUGGGCAUACUACCUUACUCUUAAGAGAUUUGGAUGUGGGUCCAAUGUUCUGGUUACAAACCCGAGCCCAAGAGAUACGCCCAGUCUCUGGGCUAAAGCUCCAUCGAUGAUCCUAUUUAAGCAAGCAAAAUAUUAUUGGUUUGUUUGCUUUUUGACUUUGAAACUUCAUGCUUCAUAUCCUUCUUUUUAUCUUCUUUUUUUUCUUUUGUUUGUUCUGUCCUAUUCUAGCCAUUUUAUGUUUUAACAUUGUCAGUUCUUGUAUACUGCACUCACCUUUCGUUCUGAAAUCUCAAUGAGUUUGUUUCCACAUUACAUUCCAUUUUAAUGAGAUCUCUCUCUCAGUAUAGGCACAGGAGAGAAAGGGUAGUACAAUAAUUCUUCCCAUAUAAAUCUUGAUGCUGUGGACUUCUGGGGUCUUAGUUUUGGUAAAUAGAGACAGUGGUAGUGCAACCAAUGCCCAACCAGAGAUUGGGUUGGACUAGGAAGAGGCAUGGGAGCGGGGAUCUUAGUGAGAUAGACCUUUACUCAAAUUGAAAACUAGUUGUUUUUGGAGAUUACUUUUGCUGGGGCAUAAUCCUGGUGCUUUCCUAUUCAAUGAUGCAUUUUUACUAGUCUGAUUGUUUGAACGAGGCCUCAUUUGAAGAUUACUUUAAGCCAAUCGACAAGCAAGCUGAGUUUAUAAUGAAGAAACAGCUUGAAGGGGAGGAGAAAUCGAUGAAGGUCGUGCAGAGACGGGCUUUGCUCGAGAAACAUGAAGCAGGAAAAAAAAUGCAGAUAUGAAUGAUGGGGACAAGGAUCAAAGUAACCAGGAGAUGGAAACCACCUCCAAGCAGUAAGCUCGGCUGAAAUGUUUAGAUUCUUUUCUUUUCUUUCUGUAGUGUGUAUCUCUCCUUUCUUUGUGACAAAUUUUGGAUGUUCUGAGGCAGCAUUUUAUGAAUCCAUACUGUGCUUUCUAAUAUAGAGCAGUGAUAGAUAGUUUUUGUCCAUCAACUAUUCAGAUUUC